AGUCGAGCGGAGUUUGAAUGGAAGCUUGCUUCCUUUCAGACUUAGCGGCGGACGGGUGAGUAACACGUAGGCAACCUGCCCUCAAGCCUGGGAUAACUACCGGAAACGGUAGCUAAUACCGGAUAAUUUCUUUGUUCUCCUGAAGAGAGAAUGAAAGGCGGAGUAAUCUGCCUCUUGGGGAUGGGCCUGCGGCGCAUUAGCUAGUUGGUGGGGUAACGGCUCACCAAGGCGACUAUGCGUAGCCGACCUGAGAGGGUGAACGGCCACUCUGGGACUGAGACACGGCCCAGACUCCUACGGGAGGCAGCAGU
rnacentral:rRNA from 1 species